AAGCGAUGGGGUGACGCAGGAAGGUAGUCCAGCCCAGGCGAUGGUUGUCCUGGGGUAAGCAUGUAGGGCGUGUCGUAGGUAAAUCCGCGGCAUUUAAGCCUGAGAUGUGAUGCCGAGCCGAUUGUGGUGAAGUGGAUGAUCCUAUGCUGCCGAGAAAAGCCUCUAGUGAGUGUUGUGGCGGCCCGUACCCUAAACCGACUCAGGUGGUCAGGUAGAGAAUACCAAGGCGAUCGGGUGAACUGUGGUUAAGGAACUCGGCAAAUUGCCCCCGUAACUUCGGGAGAAGGGGGACCUCUGUUGGUGAUGGGCUUUACGCCUGGAGCUGGUGGGGGUCGCAGUGGCCAGGGGGAAGCGACUGUUUACUAAAAACACAGGUCCGUGCGAAGUCGUAAGACGAUGUAUACGGACUGACGCCUGCCCGGUGCCGGAACGUUAAGGGGACCGCUUAGCUGACGUGAGUUGGCGAAGGUGAGAACUUAAGCGCCGGUAAACGGCGGUGGUAACUAUAACCAUCCUAAGGUAGCGAAAUUCCUUGUCGGGUAAGUUCCGACCUGCACGAAUGGCGUAACGACUUCCCCGCUGUCUCAACCGCAGACCCGGCGAAAUUGCACUACGAGUAAAGAUGCUCGUUUCGCGCAGCAGGACGGAAAGACCCCGGGACCUUCACUACAGCUUGACAUUGGCGUUUGGAACGUCUUGUGUAGGAUAGGUGGGAGACUGGGAAGCUGUCACGCUAGUGAUGGUGGAGUCAUUGGUAAAAUACCACUCUGGUCGUUUUGAACGUCUAACUCUGGUCCGUGAUCCGGAUCGGGGACAGUGUCUGGUGGGUAGUUUAACUGGGGCGGUUGCCUCCUAAAGAGUAACGGAGGCGCCCAAAGGUUCCCUCAGCCUGGUUGGCAAUCAGGUGUUGAGUGUAAGUGCACAAGGGAGCUUGACUGUGAGACUGACAGGUCGAGCAGGAGCGAAAGCUGGGACUAGUGAUCCGGCAUCGGCGUGUGGAAGCGGUGUCGCUCAACGGCUAAAAGGUACCCCGGGGAUAACAGGCUGAUCUUCCCCAAGAGUCCAUAUCGACGGGAUGGUUUGGCACCUCGAUGUCGGCUCGUCGCAUCCUGGGGCUGGAGUAGUCCCAAGGGUUGGGCUGUUCGCCCAUUAAAGCGGUACGCGAGCUGGGUUUAGAACGUCGCGAGACAGUUCGGUCCCUAUCCGCUGCGCGCGCAGGAGACUUGAAGGGGGCUGUCCCUAGUACGAGAGGACCGGGACGGACGAACCUCUGGUGUGCCAGUUGUACCGCCAGGUGCACGGCUGGUUGGCUACGUUCGGAAGGGAUAACCGCUGAAAGCAUCUAAGCGGGAAGCUCGCCUUGAGAUGAGGUCUCCCACCACGAGAGUGGGUAAGGCUCCCGGUAGACGACCGGGUUGAUAGGCCGGAGGUGGAAGCACGGUAACGUGUGGAGCUGACCGGUACUAAUAGGCCGAGGACUUG
rnacentral:rRNA from 1 species